GACGAACGCUGGCGGCGUGCCUAACACAUGCAAGUCGAACGGGGUAAUCCUUCGGGGUUACUUAGUGGCGAACGGGUGAGUAACGCGUGAGAAACCUGCCUUUCAGUGGGGGACAACAGUUGGAAACGACUGCUAAUACCGCAUAACAUAUUCGGGGGGCAUCCCCUGGAUAUCAAAGCUUUAUGUGCUGAAAGAUGGUCUCGCGUCUGAUUAGCUAGAUGGCGGGGUAACGGCCCACCAUGGCGACGAUCAGUAGCCGGUCUGAGAGGAUGAACGGCCACAUUGGGUCUGAGAUACGGCCCAGACUCCUACGGGAGGCGGCAGUGGGGAAUAUUGGGCAAUGGGGGAAACCCUGACCCAGCAACGCCGCGUGAAGGAAGAAGGCCUUCGGGUUGUAAACUUCUUUUAGUAGGGACGAAUUGCGUGACGGUACCUACAGAAAAAGCAACGGCUAACUACGUGCCAGCCGCCGCGGUAAAAC
rnacentral:rRNA from 1 species